rnacentral:rRNA from 1 species
UUACGCUAAUACCGCAUACGAUCUACGGAUGAAAGCGGGGGACUCGCAAGAGCCUCGCGCGAUUGGAGCGGCCGAUAUCAGAUUAGGUAGUUGGUGGGGUAAAGGCUCACCAAGCCAACGAUCUGUAGCUGGUCUGAGAGGACGGCCAGCCACACUGGAACUGAGACACGGUCCAGACUCCUACGGGAGGCAGCAGUGGGGAAUAUUGGACAAUGGGCGAAAGCCUGAUCCAGCCAUGCCGCGUGUGUGAAGAAGGUCUUCGGAUUGUAAAGCACUUUAAGUUGGGAGGAAGGGUAGUAACCUAAUACGUUGCUACUUUGACGUUACCGACAGAAUAAGCACCGGCUAACUACGUG